AGAGUUUGAUCCUGGCUCAGGAUGAACGCUGGCGGCGUGCCUAAUACAUGCAAGUCGAGCGAACGGACGAGAAGCUUGCUUCUCUGAUGUUAGCGGCGGACGGGUGAGUAACACGUGGAUAACCUACCUAUAAGACUGGGAUAACUUCGGGAAACCGGAGCUAAUACCGGAUAAUAUUUUGAACCGCAUGGUUCAAAAGUGAAAGACGGUCUUGCUGUCACUUAUAGAUGGAUCCGCGCUGCAUUAGCUAGUUGGUAAGGUAACGGCUUACCAAGGCAACGAUGCAUAGCCGACCUGAGAGGGUGAUCGGCCACACUGGAACUGAGACACGGUCCAGACUCCUACGGGAGGCAGCAGUAGGGAAUCUUCCGCAAUGGGCGAAAGCCUGACGGAGCAACGCCGCGUGAGUGAUGAAGGUCUUCGGAUCGUAAAACUCUGUUAUUAGGGAAGAACAUAUGUGUAAGUAACUGUGCACAUCUUGACGGUACCUAAUCAGAAAGCCACGGCUAACUACGUGCCAGCAGCCGCGGUAAUACGUAGGUGGCAAGCGUUAUCCGGAAUUAUUGGGCGUAAAGCGCGCGUAGGCGGUUUUUUAAGUCUGAUGUGAAAGCCCACGGCUCAACCGUGGAGGGUCAUUGGAAACUGGAAAACUUGAGUGCAGAAGAGGAAAGUGGAAUUCCAUGUGUAGCGGUGAAAUGCGCAGAGAUAUGGAGGAACACCAGUGGCGAAGGCGACUUUCUGGUCUGUAACUGACGCUGAUGUGCGAAAGCGUGGGGAUCAAACAGGAUUAGAUACCCUGGUAGUCCACGCCGUAAACGAUGAGUGCUAAGUGUUAGGGGGUUUCCGCCCCUUAGUGCUGCAGCUAACGCAUUAAGCACUCCGCCUGGGGAGUACGACCGCAAGGUUGAAACUCAAAGGAAUUGACGGGGACCCGCACAAGCGGUGGAGCAUGUGGUUUAAUUCGAAGCAACGCGAAGAACCUUACCAAAUCUUGACAUCCUUUGACAACUCUAGAGAUAGAGCCUUCCCCUUC
rnacentral:rRNA from 1 species